UUUAUCUUUGAAAAAAAAUGAUAUAUAUAUAAGAUUUGUCAUACAAGUAAAAAAAAAAAUCCAAAUAUGUAAAUACAUACCUCUAUUUUUAUUAAUAUAAUUAGGCAACCAACCUCAUAGAAUAUAUAUAUUACGUAUACGUACCUAUCUGUUAUUAAUUAAUUAUUAGGCCCUCCUUCAUAUUAUAUUAUCCCCUGAAGGCGCGCGCAAUUAUAGAAAAAUCGUCUAAUAAUAAUCGGCGCAUAUUGAAGAAUCUAGAUCGAAAUU
rnacentral:lncRNA from 1 species